UACGAUGGGAGGCUAGCGUUGUUCGGAAUCACUGGGCGUAAAGCGCACGUAGGCGGAUUGUUAAGUCGGGGGGUGAAAUCCUGAGGCUCAACCUCAGAACUGCCUUCGAUACUGGCGAUCUUGAGUUCGGAAGAGGUUGGUGGAACAGCUAGUGUAGAGGUGAAAUUCGUAGAUAUUAGCUAGAACACCAGUGGCGAAGGCGGCCAACUGGUCCGACACUGACGCUGAGGUGCGAAAGCGUGGGGAGCAAACAGG
rnacentral:rRNA from 1 species